CAUUAGUGGGCGGUAGGUAGAAAAAUGUUGACUACCCCCGAUUUAAACAAUUAUAAAAAAUGAGCCAAAUCAAAAUCUAAACUUAAAGGACCACUAUAGGCACCCAGAACACUUCAGCUUAAUGAUGUGGUCUGGGUUCUAGGUCCACCUAGGAUUAACCCUUUCUGAUGUAAACAUAGCAGUUUCAGAGAAACUGCCAUGUUUACUUUAGG